AAUGUUGAUAAAUUUACAUAGUUUGUUCUUUUAUAAUUUACCAAUUUUUUAAAAACCUAACCAAUUGCUUAAAAAAAUUAUAAUACCAGACCGAUCAACUUUUUUAGUUUGAUUUAGGUUCAUGGUUAAUUCGAUUCUUUGCACAGCGGAUCCCUACUCCCACACCGCAUGCAUUUUCUGUUUCCGUUAAAAAAAUCUGAAAAAUCAAAAAUCAAAAAUCAAAACUCGCGCUUUUUUUUUUUUAUAUAUAGUUAAUCCCAAUUCCCUCUCAUCACUACCUCACGCAUUUGCGUGUGUGAUAAAAAUGGUGUGGGAUUUGAUUUUCUCUCUUCUCCUUUUACUCCUUCACUUCGGCCUUGUCGCUAUGAUCUUUUAUGCGCUUUUGUGCCUAACUGACUUGGAGGUUGACCACAUGAAUCCUUUUGAAGCAACAGCUGCUGUUAAUGCAUGGAUUCUGCCUGAGUUUGUUUUGCAAGGGGUAGUUUGCAUUCUUUUCCUCCUGACACGACACUGGUUCCUGUUUCUCUUUGUUCUUCCACUUACUUGUUACCAUUUGAUGAAGUUCUGGAAACGGGAACAUCUUAUUGAUGUCACUGAAGUUUUCCGAAGUCUAAACUAUGAGAAGAAGUGUAGGUUGUUCAAGCUUGGUGUCUAUUUGAUUUCCUUCUCCAUUUUGAUGUUCAGAACCAUUUCAGGCGCCAUAUCAAUAUACAGAUCUGAAAGCCUAGACUACCGUUCUUCUUUUCUCAUAUUCUAGAAACUUCUUUUCUGGAUAUGGAACUUUUUUUGCCGCUUUAAAUAGGGUUGUGUUGGCUGCUUUCAACAUUAUAAAGACUGCAGAUGACUAGCGAUGACAUUCAUGUAUUUUGCUUUUUGCUGAUUUUACUCUGCUGAUUUUCAUCUCAAGAUAAGCUAAAUGAAGGUUCUUACUAAUGUGCAAUUAUUGGCUCUCGAGCCUAAGAUGUGAUCGAGUUGGGUAUGCAAGGAGUGUGAAGUGUGAACUGGAUGGAUGUUGAUGGGCUUAGCAGGCCGUACCACAAAAGAGCAACACCAAUCAAGUUAACUCGGAGGCCAAUCACGACAGCUUGGCAGACCCGACACACUGUAGGCAGCUUGACAACAGCUUCGCCUUUCUCUGUUGUACAAUCAAAAAAUACUGCUAAUAAUAGAACGCUUAUGGGCCCUAUAAGCAUCAUCAAAGGGCCCAUGGAGCCUGCCUUUCUCAGCUUUCUAGUUGAUGGGUCCAAUUGUUAGUAUGAUGAGAAAUUUUUCACCACUGGGCCUUUUUUUUGACCCUACAAUCGGGUCACUGGGACAAUGUUGGGUCAUUUUCGGGUCCUGGAUUGACUGCAGUUGUCUUGUGUACUGUAUUUCCUUUUCUGGACCCAUCGUCAUCAAGGGAUCUGUGGGUUUUGUUGGGCAACAAACAAGUGGGUCUGUUGUUGUUGAUGGGGUUACCAUCAAAGGGCUGGUGGACAUGCAUAAUGGAAUAAUAUCUGGCUGUUUGAUGUAUACUAUAAUUUUAGAGAAAAA